GCGUACUUUGGUGGUUUACGUAUUCACGCGGCGGAAGCUUUUCUGUUUUCCCCCAAAUUUGCGCUUCCCUCCCUCUUCUCGAACCUUCCGACCGCCACCGUUGUCGCCAUCGCCGCCGGCGCCGAAUUCCGCCGCGAUCUCGCCUGCUCCCCCCAGUGGUAAGAGAUUCGAUCGGUCUCGUAGUAACUCCGGCUCGCUCGGGCACCUUAGGUGCGCCGGUUCCUGCUCGAUUCGAGCUACCGGCUGCCGACUUUGCCGGCGGAACGUAAUCGGCUGCGCUGUCGCAGUCGGCGGCGUGCUUAACCGCUCCCGGAAUUCUGCUUAGCUAUGGCGAUGAUUCGAUGUGCCCUCCUUCGUGCUAGGAAAUCUUGUGCUGUGAUUUUCAGGCUUCAACUCGUUUGAUGCGUCUAUUUUUGGAAGUUAUUAGCAGUAGCAGUGUGUUCGUGUCCUGCAAUUGACCUAGCCUGCGCAAUCUGUUGCUUGCUGCUAAAUGUGUGGGUUUUUUCCCCCUAGCCAUUAAAUUCAAACAACUAGUAGACAACUCGUUAUUGCCGAAGUACAGUUUGGAAUCAUUUGGGUUUGACUGUUCGUUCAAUAAAAGAAAAAAAGAAGGGUUUCAGAGUGUCUGCUAGCUUUAAAUUUUUGCACGGUCAGAUUAAGGAAAUUUUAAUUUUACUUGUUGGUUGUUUUAUUUCUCAACCUCCCAUUAAUUGCUCCCAGUUAAGGUAUUUUCAGUUGGAACAUUAGUUAUGAUUUGUACAAUCACAGAUGGGAUUUACAGAUGAAAUAGUACAAGUAGAUGUGUUAGAAAGGCACUUGUUGGCUGGUUUAUCACCGGAUGAUUAUAAGGGAAUAAGUGAGGAUGAGAUCCUCUAUGAUGCAUCAUUUGAGGCAACUGAAGACAAGUUUGUCAAGUAUCAGAUUACUUGGUGGAUUCUGCUGUCAGUAUUGUUGAUCUUAGCUUGGGGAGUAGGACUCCUCAUGCUGCUUUACUUGCCAAUUUGGAUAUAUGUGUGCCGGAAGGACUUCCGCUCAAGGAAGUUGUGUUUGACUCCACAUGCUAUUGUCUAUAAGGUAACUAGGCCUGCCACUUUUCCUUGUUUUGGUGUUUUGAGGAAUGAGAAGCAUGUUGUCCUUCAUUCAGUUUCUGAUAUUGUUGUCGAACAAGGUUAUCUCCAAUCACUUUUUGGUAUAUAUUCAAUCAGAUUUGAGAACAUUGGUGUCCGAAAGCCUUCUAGUGAUGACAUAAAGAUAACUGGAAUUAGUCAUCCACAUGAUUUCAGGAAGGCUGUUCUUGUCCAUCUUUUGAAUACAAGCAAUCUGAAUCUCAGUAGAAAAGCUUAUGUACACGAUGAUCAGCAGAGCACGAGUUCUAAACCUAUAACUAUGUCUUCGGUUCCUCCUCUUGGAGAUUUGAUACUUGAGAAGCUUGACGAAGUUGAAAUCUCUGUGAAGAAAAUGCAAACACUGCUAGAAGAUGUUGAAAGAUCCAGAAUGAAGACUUAAUAUGUUUUGGGAUUAACCAUGGGUUUCAUUGGGUCCACAAUUAGGCCAACAGAUAGCAACAUCUUCUCUGGAACCUCACCCUUGACCGUUGACUUGGGCGUACGUGUGCACUGCAGGGCAAUGCGGCUGUGAUGUGAGCCGGUUUAAUUUCCUCUUAGCAAUGGUAGGCCCGGAUAGACACUGGCCCCACCUGUCAGCGACUCAAUGUCAAGCAGUCAAGCCCCAGGUAUAGCUUCAUGGAUUGGAGAAUUUGGAGCACUGAAGCUACCCUAUCGUUCUCCCAGCUUACAUGUGCUGCAAAACCUCUGAAUUCAACGGUGAUGACUAUGAGAUAAGUUAUAGUGAGUUCAUCGUCAGAUCAUGGAAAUCAUGUUUUAAUCUGGGCUACAUGUUCAAUUCAAUGGCUUGUUUGGAUGUGUUUGGACUUAGGAGUGAGUUGGGAUCCUGAUUCAUCGCAGUCCAAUCAUUUGGUACAUUGUCCAGCACGGUAAGGACAUCUUGAAAAACUGUUGCUGCUGAAAUAAAGUGUUCUCUUGACUUCUGGUCACCUGUAGCUUUUCUACAGUUUGAUCAAUCACUCAAUCCUUUGUACUAUAACACAUUAACACUUAAUUUUACUUUUGUGAUCUCGCAGUCGCUGUAAUCUUUUCCUGGCAUAAACAUCCCUAUUGCUACUGAAAAGAGAAUUUACUGUGGAUUAAAGUUACAGCAUAUAGUUCCAUAAAAUCUGUCAGCUCCACCGUUUGCUCUUCACUUUAUUAGCCGCAACCAAAAUCUAAAUUCUAAAACUUUCAUUUUGUAGUUAAUUUUAAUGCUUUUGUUAUAGUUUAUUUUUCAGUGUCAUAUUUUAAAACGCUAAGAACACAUAUAUAAUAAAAAAA